AUGCCGUGUCGUCCGCGGCCGAGGGAGCAGCCCCGGGCGGGGCUCAGGGCUCAGUGCCCGGCCCGCCGCCCCCACCCCCGGCCGCGCCUCGGCCGAACAAAGGCGGCGGUGGCAGCGGGGCCGCUCCGUGCGGUGCGAGCACGGCGAGGGGCGAGCCCGCACAGACCCGCGCCUGACGGCGUUGGGAGGGCCCCACGCCCCGGCCCGGCCCCACUCAGCGGCGCGUCGGGAGGAAGCGCCGGCCGCGCGGCCGCCAGCCCCUCGGCUCGCCCGCCCCCCGUCUCCUCCCCUCCGCAGCCGAUCCUCCGCCCCCUCCUCCUCCUCCUCCCGCUGGCGGCGGCGGCGGCUUUCUCGGCCCCGGCUCCCGGCUUUUCUCCGCGGCUUCGCCUCGCUCCUCAGCGGGAGGCUCCGCGCCGCGCCGCGCCGGCGAGGACGGCAGUGCUGCAAGGAGCCUCUGGGAGUUCCAGGGAGAAGAGACCAGCCUCUGUUUGGAGACCUUUGCUACGGGUCAAGACCUCCAAGCAGGUCAGGCAGACGUAGCAGGAGCUUGGAAGUUUUACAUCAAGGAAUCUGAAACCUUGGUAAGACCAUAUAGUUAUCAGAAGAUUUUGACUCACUUGAAAAAGAAGCAUUCCUGGGUACUUGAAGUCUAGAUUAAGAGGAGAAACUUUUUGUUCUUAGAUCAACAACUAACUUGCUUCAUGGCCUUGGGCACGUCCUCUUGGCUUCCUUGCACCAGUUAUCCAUUGUAUCCACUGCUGCCACCACCGUUGUAAACUCCUUUGCGAGCGUUGGAGAUGAUCCGUCAAAACCAUUCAUUAUUCAGAGUAAACUCUGCUUCAUUUGCUAUGCAUUUACUUAAACUGCAGUGGAAAUACACAAUUGAGGCUAUAAAGAACUCCAACCAACAGAAUAAAAUUGGCUUGUGCAACGUGCA
rnacentral:lncRNA from 1 species